UGAAGAGAGAGUUCAAGAGGACGUGAAAUUGGUAAGAUCGAAACGGAUAGUGCCAACGUAUCUCACCAGUAUUCAGCGUUCAGUCGGCGCACAGCGUUGUGUUGUCGUUCUCGAUGAGACGAUGCAUGGUGUUGAGGUGCAGGCUGGGCGUGCAUUUGCUGGUUUGGUGCGCUGAGAGGUACGAUCUUUGGCAUUGGUGAAACGCGUUUAGAGGACCUUGUCUUCGGACUCGGAACCCUGGAUUGUUGUCUAACCUUAGCUGGUUGUGCUUAUCAUUACGUCCUGGCCUACGCUAUGGCGCGUUUUUCGGAAAUUACCUAGGUGAAACGCGUGCGUUUUUGCCUUCGUUGGUGACCGAUUGAGCGUGUCGUAGCUCAGAGACGUUGUCUCGGCGUAAAAGUUGGUCUACUAACCGACCCGUCUUGAAACACGGACCAAGGAGUUUAGCGUAUGUGCGAGUCAUUGGGUGUUAAACCUAAAGGCGUAAUGAAAGUAAAGGAACGAAAGUCCUGAUAUGCGAUCUUAGCGGUUUCGGCCGUUGUGAGCAGCAUAGCCCCGUCUCAAUUGCUUGCAAUGGGGCGGAGGUAGAGCAUAUGCGCUGAGACCCGAAAGAUGGUGAACUAUGCCUGUGCAGGAUGAAGCCAGAGGAAACUCUGGUGGAAGUCCGAAGCGGUUCUGACGUGCAAAUCGAUCGUC
rnacentral:rRNA from 1 species